rnacentral:rRNA from 1 species
GAUGAACGCUGACAGAAUGCUUAACACAUGCAAGUCAACUUGAAUUUGGGUUUUUAACUUAGGUUUGGGUGGCGGACGGGUGAGUAACGCGUAAAGAACUUGCCUCACAGCUAGGGACAACAUUUGGAAACGAAUGCUAAUACCUAAUAUUAUGAUAAUAGGGCAUCCUAUAAUUAUGAAAGCUAUAAGCGCUGUGAGAGAGCUUUGCGUCCCAUUAGCUAGUUGGAGAGGUAACGGCUCACCAAGGAGAUGAUGGGUAGCCGGCCUGAGAGGGUGAUCGGCCACAAGGGGACUGAGACACGGCCCUUACUCCUACGGGAGGCAGCAGUGGGGAAUAUUGGACAAUGGACCGAGAGUCUGAUCCAGCAAUUCUGUGUGCACGAUGAAGUUUUUCGGAAUGUAAAGUGCUUUCAGUUGGGAAGAAACAAAUGACGGUACCAACAGAAGAAGUGACGGCUAAAUACGUA